GGUUCAGGACGAACGCUGGCGGCGUGGCUUAACACAUGCAAGUCGAACGAUGACGAUGGUGCUUGCACCGUCUGAUUAGUGGCGAACGGGUGAGUAACACGUGAGUAACCUGCCCUCCUCUUCGGGAUAACCGCCGGAAACGGUGGCUAAUACCGGAUAUGAAUGUCUGCCGCAUGGUGGGUGUUGGAAAGAUUUAUCGGUGGGGGAUGGACUCGCGGCCUAUCAGUUUGUUGGUGAGGUAAUGGCUCACCAAGGCGAUGACGGGUAGCCGGCCUGAGAGGGCGACCGGCCACACUGGGACUGAGACACGGCCCAGACUCCUACGGGAGGCAGCAGUGGGGAAUAUUGCACAAUGGGCGAAAGCCUGAUGCCAGCGACGCCGCGUGGGGGAUGACGGCCUUUGGGUUGUAAACCUCUUUCAGCAGGGAAGAAGCGAGAGUGACGGUACCUGCAGAAGAAGCGCCGGCUAACUACGUGCCAGCCGCAGC
rnacentral:rRNA from 1 species